UGGGGAAUAUUGCACAAUGGGCGCAAGCCUGAUGCAGCCAUGCCGCGUGUAUGAAGAAGGCCUUCGGGUUGUAAAGUACUUUCAGUCGGGAGGAAGGUGGUAAGGUUAAUAACCUUAUCAAUUGACGUUACCGACAGAAGAAGCACCGGCUAACUCCGUGCCAGCAGCCGCGGUAAUACGGAGGGUGCAAGCGUUAAUCGGAAUUACUGGGCGUAAAGCGCACGCAGGCGGUUGAUUGAGUCAGAUGUGAAAUCCCCGGGCUUAACCCGGGAAUUGCAUCUGAUACUGGUCAGCUAGAGUCUUGUAGAGGGGGGUAGAAUUCCAUGUGUAGCGGUGAAAUGCGUAGAGAUGUGGAGGACUACCGGUGGCGAAGGCGGCCCCCUGGACAAAGACUGACGCUCAGGUGCGAAAGCGUGGGGAGCAAACAGG
rnacentral:rRNA from 1 species